GAGAGAGACAUGCGCGCAUAUCAAUAAGCGGAGGAAAAGAAACUAACAAGGAUUCCCUUAGUAACGGCGAGUGAAGCGGGAAGAGCUCAAAUUUGAAAUCUUCAAGGUUUUACCUUGACGAAUUGUAGUUUAAAGAAGUGUUUUCUGCUGAAGUUUUGGUAAAAGUUCUUUGGAAUAGGACAUCAUAGAGGGUGAGAAUCCCGUAUUUGACCAUUAUUUUCAGCUUUGUGAUACACUUUCAAAGAGUCGGAUUGUUUGGGAAUGCAGUCCAAAAUGGGUGGUAAAUUUCAUCUAAAGCUAAAUAUUGGCGAGAGACCGAUAGCGAACAAGUACCGUGAGGGAAAGAUGAAAAGAACUUUGAAAAGAGAGUUAAACAGUACGUGAAAUUGUCAAAAGGGAAGCGUUUGACACCAGUGUUGUUUUCUCGAAAAUCAAUUAAAAAUGGCUCGAUUUUGUAUUGUUGAGACCUUAAAAGCUCACUGUACAUUUUUCGUGUCUUUUUUAAUGCACUUUUCGUUUAACAAGUCAACAUCAGGUUUCUUUUGUUGUAAAAGGGUCAUUGGAAGGUGGCUUUCUUUUCGGAGAAAGUGUUUAUAGCCUUUGGCCUCUGCAAUCGAAGAGACUGAGGUCUGCAGCGUAGACUCUUCGGGGUUAGAUACAUUUGUGCUAAGUUAUAGCUUUUUAUAGACAACUUGUUGACUAUAAUUAGUCUUGUAGCUUACUCGCUUAUGCUAUUUUACCUACGCUUAGGAUGUUGAGUCGUAGAGCACGCAG
rnacentral:rRNA from 1 species